CACUUUAAGAGACUGCCGGUGUUAAGCCGGAGGAAGGUGGGGAUGACGUCAAGUCCUCAUGGCCUUUAUGGCCCAGGGCUACACACGUGCUACAAUGGGCGGUACAAAGAGAAGCAACCUCGCGAGGGUGAGCAAAUCUCAAAAAGCCGUUCUCAGUUCGGAUUGAAGUCUGCAACUCGACUUCAUGAAGUCGGAAUCGCUAGUAAUCGCGGAUCAGCAUGCCGCGGUGAAUACGUUCCCGGGCCUU
rnacentral:rRNA from 1 species